AUUGGAGGGCAAGUCUGGUGCCAGCAGCCGCGGUAAUUCCAGCUCCAAUAGCGUAUAUUAAAGUUGUUGCGGUUAAAAAGCUCGUAGUUUGAUUUGAGUUGCGGACUGGUGUGGGAGGUCACCGCCCGGUGCUUGCCCGCCAGGUUCCGAACAGCUUCCGUGAGUGGAAGCCAAGCCGGUUCUGCCGGGGUGCUCUUUACCGAGUGUCCCGUGCGGCCGGCCAGUUCACCUUGAAUAAAUGAGAGUGCUCAAAGCAGGCUACUCUGGAAUACAAUGCCCGAAUGUUAGCUGCAUGGAAUGAUGGAAGAUGAUCUCGGUUGCAUUUUGUUGGUGGUGGCAGCCAGAGGUAAUGAUAAAGAGGGACUGUCGGGGGCAUCCGUACUACGACGCGAGAGGUGAAAUUCAGUGACCGUCGUAGGACGAACAACAGCGAAAGCAUUUGCCAAGAAUGUCUUCGUUGAUCAAGAACGAAAGUUAGAGGAUCGAAGGCGAUCAGAUACCGCCCUAGUUCUAACCCUAAACGAUGCUGACUAGCAAUUCGCCGUCGUUAUUCCCAUGACGUGGCGAGACGCCCCCGGGAAACCUCAAGUUUUUGAGUUCCGGGGGUAGUAUGGUUGCAAAAGUGAAACUUAAAGGAAUUGACGGAAGGGCACCACCAGGAGUGGAGCCUGCGGCUUAAUUUGACUCAACACGGGAAAGCUCACCAGGCCCGGACACCAGAAGGAUUGACAGAUUAAGAGCU
rnacentral:rRNA from 1 species